rnacentral:rRNA from 1 species
AGUGAACGCUGGCGGUAGGCCUAACACAUGCAAGUCGAACGGCAGCACAGGAGAGCUUGCUCUCUGGGUGGCGAGUGGCGGACGGGUGAGGAAUACAUCGGAAUCUACUCUGUCGUGGGGGAUAACGUAGGGAAACUUACGCUAAUACCGCAUACGACCUACGGGUGAAAGCAGGGGACCUUCGGGCCUUGCGCGAUUGAAUGAGCCGAUGUCGGAUUAGCUAGUUGGCGGGGUAAAGGCCCACCAAGGCGACGAUCCGUAGCUGGUCUGAGAGGAUUAUCAGCCACAGUGGAACUGAGACACGGUGCAGACUCCUACGGGAGGCAGCAGUGGGGAAUAUUGGACAAUGGGCGCAAGCCUGAUCCAGCCAUACCGCGUGGGUGAAGAAGGCCUUCGGGUUGUAAAGCCCUUUUGUUGGGAAAGAAAUCCAGCUGGCUAAUACCCGGUUGGGAUGACGGUACCCAAAGAAUAAGCACCGGCUAACUUCGUGCCAGCCGCCGCAGUAA